GCUGCCGCUGCUGCUGGCGGAAAAUGGCCGCUACAACCUCAAGUCCGUCCUGGUGCACCGGGAGGACAUAAGGGUGGAGAGAGAAGAGGGGAGAAUAUGAGGGUCUAGGAGAGAGAAGGACCGAGGGAAAGAAGAGCGAGCGCGUGAGGCUGUGCCGGGGAGAAGGGGGAUAAAAGACACGAGACCCGCGGGGGGGCAGCAGGCUGGAGGCGGCGGGCGACACCAAGCCAUGGAGGGCGAUGUGCGUGUUCGUGCAGUGGUGAUGACGCGUGACGACUCAAGCGGCGGGUGGGUUCCCCUGGGGGGCGGCGGCCUCAGCCAUGUGAUCAUCUGCAAGGGGCGGAGCCCAGGCAACAGGGGGCGGAGAGACUACGUCAUCCAUGGGGAGCGGCUGCGUGAUCGAGCACCGGUGCUGGAGUGUGCGGUACAGAAGGGCCUGGUCUAUAACAAGGUGAACCCAAUCUUUCACCACUGGCGUGUAGAGGACCGAAAGUUUGGCCUGACCUUCCAGAGUCCGGCCGACGCCAUCACAUUUGAACGGGGACUCCAGAGUGCCAUCGAAAGACUGGACAGAGAGUCUGAGUCUCCCUCGUCCUCCACACCAGAAGAGGGCGACACUGAGGAUGAUGGCCAAGCUUCUCACACAGACAGUGAGUCGUCCUCCAACAGCAGGAAAGAAAUGCUACCCAAGUCCAUCACCAUAGUGACCAGUGAGUCGUCGGCUGGCUUUGUGCGGUCUGCUGCUGACGAGUUGGGCUAUGAGUCCGGACCCACAGCACCCUCCCAAAGCCCUAGUCAGAUUCACACUCGGCCUGUACAGCAUCAGCCCCCCCAGGGAACGGCUGUCUUGAACCCCCCGGCACCCCCACCUCCGCCCCCGGCCCCUCCUACCCCACCCGUGCCUCAUCCGGUCCCCACCUCGCUCUCCCCUCUGUCCCCCACCUUCUCGCUCCUGGAGGAGGGCGAUCUGCAAGGCCUAGACCCCUGCAAGGACCUGUGGGGCUCGCGCGGCUACGAAGAUUACCGGCGAGCCGGCGCCACCCGUCCUGGGGGCGGGGGCUUCGGGGGGGGCCUGGCUGGAGGCAUCGUGCAGGACAAGUCAGAGCUGUGUGUGGUGCGUUUCGACAAGGAGCUGGCCGGGAUGGGCGUGCCUGGGUGCGAGGUGACCAUUAACCUGGACAGUAAGGGCAGCCACCGGCACUCCUCCUCCUCCCCCACCUGUGGCUCCACGCCCACAGCGUCCAGCGCUCCUCCUGGGGCUGGCUCCCCCCAAGACACGGGCAAGGGCUCGCCAUCCCCCUGCUGCAUCCACACCUCCUUGGCCACGCCCCGCUCACGGACUCGGAAGAGAGGGGGGGGCGGUGGGGCUGGUGACUGCGGGCUGGGCUUGUCAGGCUCCGCCUCCCUGGGAGGGGCCGUGUCCCCUGAGGACGAGAGCCCCUGUCCAGCGGCAUCGUCGUCCUGCUCGUCGCGCUGUGUGUACUGCCGCUCCGUGUUCAGCGCCUCGGAGAAUGGGCGGGGCCGCUGCCGGGAUGCGCCGGAUCCGGUGCUACGCUGCCUGCGCCAGUGGACCUGCGUGUGGUGCGCCGAGAGCCUGCUGUACCACUGCACGUCGGACUCGGAGGGCGAGUUCUGGGAGCCGUGCUCGUGCGAGGACUCGCUGGGCGGCCGGCCCCACCCGCUGUGUUGUGCCCGCUGGGCAGCGUUGUUGGCGCUCUCGCUCUGCGUGCCCUGCAUGUGCUGCUACCUGCCACUGCGCGCCUGCCUGCGCUGCGGGGAGCGCUGCGGCUGCUGCGGGGGCCGCCACAAGGCCGUGCGGUAAUGCUGGGCUCCCCGGGGCCCCCCCCCAAGAGCCCGGCCUGCCCGUUACCCAUGGGCCCCGGGAGGGCGGGGGCUGGGGGCACAAGGACGUGUAAAACUAUUUAAGAGGUUUUUAAUUUAAAAGAAAAAAAAUAAUCAAAGGAUGUUUAUAAAUAUGAUUGUUAAUCAUUAUUAUUGAUAUUUUUAUUCUAUUUUAUUAUUUUGACUGUUUGGCCUUUGAGGCCACAGCGGGUGGAUUUUGACAGAUUCAUUUAGCGGUUAGCAUUUAUUUUUGUAUUCAUCCAAAAGACACUCUCCCGUCUUACCUCUAACUUACUCUGUUGUACCUCAAGUCCUGGGGGGUGGGGUUACCGUCUGGCAGACUGGAUACUCAGUGUGAGAGUGCGGGGGGCGAAUUUUUUGGCAAUGGACCAUAAUGGUUUUGGCUAAAGAGCAAAGGAAUGACUAUAGAUGGCGUAGGUUCAGAGGUCUGAUGUGGCUAGAGGGGGGUGCUGCUUGUUAGAGAAAGUAAGCGGCCGGGCUAGUGACGCUCGUGGAAUGUGCCUGAUUAUGGGGGGGUGUGUUGUAACAAGGAGGUACCCACCCGGUCCUGUCGACUCAGCUCAGCAUCUCUGUCUCUUAAAACGAUCCUCAACACUAGCUGUCACCAGAAAGGGUGGGGUGGAGACAUAACUCACCCGAAUCUUUGGGACUAGGGUUUGAUUGGCUAAUAAUGUCACUUUUAAAAUGACCCUUACCCUCCCCGUCAUCACUGGGAACGCGCUCUGACCUGCAGACGAAGAGUAGGGGCAGGAAACCUGGAACAACAGCAGCUUGCAGAGUAGGGAGGGAAUCCAUCACAGCGGGGCGCGGAGGGCGAGGCGGCCACCACCCUAACGCCCGCGUCCUUCACAGCGGGGCGCGGAGGGCGAGGCGGCCACCACCCUAACGCCCGCGUCCUUCACAGCGGGGCGCGGAGGGCGAGGCGGCCACCACCCUAACGCCCGCGUCCUUCACAGCGGGGCGCGGAGGGCGAGGCGGCCACCACCCUAACGCCCGCGUCCUUCACAGCGGGGCGCGGAGGGCGAGGCGGCCACCACCCUAACGCCCGCGUCCUUCACAGCGGGGCGCGGAGGGCGAGGCGGCCACCACCCUAACGCCCGCGUCCUUCACAGCGGGGCGCGGAGGGAGAGGCGGCCACCACCCUAACGCCCGCGUCCUUCACAGCGGGGCGCGGAGGGAGAGGCGGCCACCACCCUAACGCCCGCGUCCUUCACAGCGGGGCGCGGAGGGCGAGGCGGCCACCACUCAAACGCCCGCGUCCUUCACAGCGGGGCGCGGAGGGCUAGGCGGCCACCACCCUAACGCCCGCGUCCUUCACAGCGGGGCGCGGAGGGCGAGGCGGCCACCACCCUAACGCCCGCGUCCUUCACAGCGGGGCGCGGAGGGCGAGGCGGCCACCACCCUAACGCCCGCGUCCUUCACAGCGGGGCGCGGAGGGCGAGGCGGCCACCACCCUAACGCCCGCGUCCUUCACAGCGGGGCGCGGAGGGCGAGGCGGCCACCACCCAAACGCCCGCGUCCUUCACAGCGGGGCACGGAGGGCGAGGCGGCCACCACUCAAACGCCCGCGUCUGCAGUGCGUCUCCACGGGAAUGUCCUAUAGGUCUAUUCUUUCACACACACCCCCUUCCCGCUGUCCAUUAGGAACAGACUUGCUUUUUCGAACCCGGGUGGCCUCUUGUCAGGGUUCGUUUACUUAAAAAAUAGCAGACAAAAUGGGAUCAGUUUCACACAGCGCCUCUGACAUGUACAAAACGAGGACCCACACGGUGGUGGACACAGUGACAGCAUCCCAGCAAAGACCCAACCCACAUCUUAAUAAACGUGCCUUUUCAUUUAUCACAAUUUCCCAAUCCGGUCUUCGGGGACUCAGACGGUUCACAUUUUUGCUCCCUCCCUUCUCCAUAGCAAAAAUGUGGACUGUCUGGGAGGGAGAAAAAAAACGUGGAUCAUCUUCGGGUCCCCGAGGACCGGGUUGGGAAACACUGAUUUAUCGGAUUUUAUUUCCAACUAUGUACCUGUGUACAGUUGACUCCGUUCUCCUUCUGCCAGUGUGUAUACUUUAAGAUGUUCGUAUUUAUUGGUUCAUUUGCGAGUAAUCAGUGAAAUAUGAGCUGUUUGUUCCGUUAUGGAGUAUUUAUUGGGAUCCUUGUUUAAUCUGAAGGUGGCUCCUGUUUUCUGUGCUGUCAGUCUACUCACGUCGUGCUGCUUUGAGGUGUGACAUACUGUGGGUUUCUAUCACUAAUUAAACCCUCACUCUAUAUUUUA